CUCCCUGCCGGCCGAGCGGCGCGGGGGAGGAGGCCGGCGGGCGGGUGCAGGGAAGGGGCCUCAGCCCCGGCGCCCGGCGUGGGGAGGAGGGGACCGAGUCGGAGCCGGGGCUUGGCCGCGUACACGACCCCCCCCAUCUCGACCCCCACCCCCGCCCCCGUCCGGUUCCGCGGGCAGGGGGCCCUGGCGGCGAGGCAGCGGCCAGUACUGCCUUCACUUUUUAGUGACUGCAGAGGAAAGAAGCUCUAGAAAGUGUUUCACGUUACAGUGA
rnacentral:lncRNA from 1 species